rnacentral:rRNA from 1 species
UACGUAGGGAGCAAGCGUUAUCCGGAUUUAUUGGGUGUAAAGGGUGCGUAGACGGGAUUACAAGUUGGUUGUGAAACCCCUCAGCUCAACUGAGGAACUGCAACCAAAACUAUAAUUCUUGAGUGCAGGAGGGGCGGGCGGAAUUCCUGGUGUAGCGGUGAAAUGCGUAGAUAUCAGGAGGAACACCGGUGGCGAAGGCGGCCUGCUGGACUGCAACUGACGUUGAGGCCCGAAAGCGUGGGGAGCAAACAGG